rnacentral:rRNA from 1 species
AUUGAACGCUGGCGGCAUGCCUUACACAUGCAAGUCGAACGGCAGCACGGGUGCUUGCACCUGGUGGCGAGUGGCGAACGGGUGAGUAAUACAUCGGAACAUGUCCUGUAGUGGGGGAUAGCCCGGCGAAAGCCGGAUUAAUACCGCAUACGAUCUACGGAUGAAAGCGGGGGACCUUCGGGCCUCGCGCUAUAGGGUUGGCCGAUGGCUGAUUAGCUAGUUGGUGGGGUAAAGGCCUACCAAGGCGACGAUCAGUAGCUGGUCUGAGAGGACGACCAGCCACACUGGGACUGAGACACGGCCCAGACUCCUACGGGUGGCAGCAGUGGGGAAUUUUGGACAAUGGGCGAAAGCCUGAUCCAGCAAUGCCGCGUGUGUGAAGAAGGCCUUCGGGUUGUAAAGCACUUUUGUCCGGAAAGAAAUCCUUGGCCCUAAUACGGUCGGGGGAUGACGGUACCGGAAGAAUAAGCACCGGCUAACUACGUG